rnacentral:rRNA from 1 species
AGUGAACGCUGGCGGUAGGCCUAACACAUGCAAGUCGAACGGCAGCACAGUAAGAGCUUGCUCUUACGGGUGGCGAGUGGCGGACGGGUGAGGAAUACAUCGGAAUCUACUUUUUCGUGGGGGAUAACGUAGGGAAACUUACGCUAAUACCGCAUACGACCUUCGGGUGAAAGCAGGGGAUCUUCGGACCUUGCGCGAUUGAAUGAGCCGAUGUCAGAUUAGCUAGUUGGCGGGGUAAAGGCCCACCAAGGCGACGAUCCGUAGCUGGUCUGAGAGGAUGAUCAGCCACACUGGAACUGAGACACGGUCCAGACUCCUACGGGAGGCAGCAGUGGGGAAUAUUGGACAAUGGGCGCAAGCCUGAUCCAGCCAUACCGCGUGGGUGAAGAAGGCCUUCGGGUUGUAAAGCCCUUUUGUUGGGAAAGAAAAGCAGCAGGUUAAUACCCCGCUGUUCUGACGGUACCCAAAGAAUAAGCACCGGCUAACUUCGUG